CGAGUGCAUGCCGGGAGAGGGCGGCCCGGAGGAGGAACCGCGGGGCGGAAGUGGCGGCGGCGGUGCGCGGGUUUGGGGGAGGCGGAAGUCGCGCCCUCGCGCUCACCCCGGGAGACCCCGGAGCCCGUCGAAGCGCGGUGCGGGUGGCGUUCGUGGCCGGCGGCAGUUAACCGGCCCGGCCCCGCCCCUGGGAUCCCCGUUCCGAGGCUCCCCCGGCUCGGGGCCGCAGGCCGCCUAGGCUUUGGGCAAGCAGGCCGGCAGCAGCCCUCUUCCCAUGUCGCAAGCGUUGAAUUCCUCGCUCCCUCGGCAGGGGAGAGGCGCCGGGUGUACUCACCGCCCAGGCCGGGCUCCUCUCGCUGCUUCCCUGCUAGGGCUGCGGGGAAGGACGGGCCCCUGUGGGGACUCGCAGAGCUUUUGACACAAAGCAGACCGUAAGCUGUAGGGCAGGAACCGGACUCUUACUCCUGUUCUGAGAAAAUGAAAGUGAAGCUUACGCAGUCGCUUUCUUUUUUAUUAUAGGCUUCUUUAGAGGCUGAACUUUUCCUUGAGAUGACGAUGUAGGCACAUAAAUCAGAUUGGAGAGGAGUGCGAGGAAGCGGCCUUUGUCACUCAGAACGGCAGGUGGGGGUCACGAUGCUGGAGUUACAGACAUCCUGCAGCAAAGGCCCCUUCACCGCAGCGUACAGCAGGGUCAUACUUUCUGUGCUGCCUCACCAUGACCUCUCCUUUUCCUGUAACGUACACCCUAGGCAGCAGGUCAUGGAAUAUAAGAAAUUAAAAGCACAGUAUUGCAGCCGGAAUACGAAGCAAACACAUCAGAAGAGGAAGGUAAAAGGGAGCACAAGCGUCUUGUUUUCAGCCUGCAGGACAGAUGGGUUGAGUAAAACAGUUCGUCAGCUUGUAAGUCUACCACUUCUCGCAAGCUGGACCAGGCUUAUGGUUUUCACAGUAAACUCUCAGUAGCUACUUCUGCUGCGUUGAAGAGUUUCCUGUCAAUCUGUCAUGUUGAAGACAAUGUUGAAUGAUCACAGCCUGUCCAGACAGCACGUGUGGGACAACUGUUGAUCUGAGAAGCAGCUCAGGCAGGACUGAAGCAGGAACUGGGGAGUAAGCAAAGCGCUGCCAGCAGAGCAGAUAACAUACUCUGAUCCUUCCAUGAUUUGCAUCAGUCACUCUCCUGGUUUGGUAACCCCAAAGACAGAAUUUAUAAACCAAGGGGUGCAGGCACACCUGCAAGGCUUCAGCUCUUCCAUUAGCCCAGCAGGGAACCUUGCCUCUCACUAUAACCCCUGGAACAGUACAGGAAGCCAGAUGCACAUGGCAGUAUUGUUCCAGGAACAGGGAUUUUGGGCGUCUCCAGCUGAAACCCCAGCCCAGAAGCCAGCCAACAUCACAGCAGCCAGCCUGCAAACGUACCUCAUCAGGCACGCCAGUGAGACAGACUCAGAUGCUUCCAGACUAUGUCCGCUCCUUCUAUAUUUAGAUUUUAAUCUGCAGUCUAUUUUUUUAAGGCUAGAAAAGUAUGAUUAUAUUUAAUCUAAGUCGCUAAUUGAGACAUUUGGGGUUUUUUUAAAUUUUGUUAAUAAGGACUAAUUGCCUUUCAAAAUAAGAACAUAAAUUCCCCUUUCCUCCACAAGCUUUCCAUCAACACAAACUGGAAAUUCAAGAUGCAGAAACUCUUCAUUUAAUAUAUUUUAUUAAUUGUAGUUAAAGAAACUACUAAGAGCCUUAAACCAAAUAUAUAAAACCCACUUUGUGCUUACAUGAAG